CUGCAGCUCAAGUGGUAGCCGCUAUUAUUGGGCCUAAAACGUUCGUAGCCGGUUUAGUAAAUGCUUGGGUAAAUUGUGUCGCUUAACGAUACGAAUACCGGGUAGACUGCUAAACUUGGGACCGGGAGAGGCUAGAGGUACUCCUGGGGUAGAGGUGAAAUUCUGUAAUCCUGGGGGGACCACCAGUAGCGAAGGCGUCUAGCUAGAACGGGUCUGACGGUGAGGGACGAAGCCCUGGGGCGCAAACCGGAUUAGAUACCCGAGUAGUCC
rnacentral:rRNA from 1 species